rnacentral:rRNA from 1 species
CAAUAGCGUAUAUUAAAGUUGUUGCAGUUAAAAAGCUCGUAGUUGGAUUUCUGGUAGGGUGCCAAUGUCCGCCGCCGUGCGAGCGCAGCGGCGCCCUACCAUCCUUCUGUCAACGCCUCUCGACCUUCGCUGGUCGGUGGCGGGCCCAGAUAUUUUACCUUGAGAAAAUUAGAGUGUUUCAGGCAGGCUAGGCCGGAAUACAUUAGCAUGGAAUAAUAGAAUAGGACUAAGGUCUCUUUGUUGGUUUGAGGGACUGUAGUAAUGAUUAAUAGGGAUAGUUGGGGGCAUUAGUAUUUAAUUGUCAGAGGUGAAAUUCUCGGAUUUGUUAAAGACUAACUUAUGCGAAAGCAUUUGCCAAGGAUGUUUUCAUUAA